UUUUUUAUGAAAUUUUGAUUUUCUUAUUAAAUUUGACAAUUCUUUUCUAUAUAUUAAAAUCGUUCCAGUUAAAUGACAUUUCAGUUAAUGUAAUUCUUCAACUAAUGUAUAAUUUAACAUAUAAUAUUUAA